GACGAACGCUGGCGGCGUGCUUAACACAUGCAAGUCGAACGGAAAGGCCCUGCUUUUGUGGGGUGCCCGAGUGGCGAACGGGUGAGUAACACGUGAGUAACCUGCCCUUGACUUUGGGAUAACUUCAGGAAACUGGGGCUAAUACCGGAUAGGAGCUCCUGCUGCAUGGUGGGGGUUGGAAAGUUUCGGCGGUUGGGGAUGGACUCGCGGCUUAUCAGCUUGUUGGUGGGGUAGUGGCUUACCAAGGCUUUGACGGGUAGCCGGCCUGAGAGGGUGACCGGCCACAUUGGGACUGAGAUACGGCCCAGACUCCUACGGGAGGCAGCAGUGGGGAAUAUUGCACAAUGGGCGGAAGCCUGAUGCAGCAACGCCGCGUGCGGGAUGACGGCCUUCGGGUUGUAAACCGCUUUCGCCUGAGACGAAGCGUGAGUGACGGUAAUGGGUAAAGAAGCACCGGCUAACUACGUG
rnacentral:rRNA from 1 species